rnacentral:rRNA from 1 species
UGUAAGACAGGUGCUGCAUGGCUGUCGUCAGCUCGUGUUGUGAAAUGUUGGGUUAAGUCCCGGCAACGAGCGCAACCCUUAUCCUAGUUGCCAGCGAUUCGGUCGGGAACUCUAGGGAGACUGCCGGUGAUAAACCGGAAGAAGGUGGGGACGACGUCAAGUCAUCAUGGCCCUUACGAGUAGGGCUACACACGUGCUACAAUGGUAUGUACAGAGGGAGGCAAGCUGGCGACAGUGAGCGGAUCUCUUAAAGCAUAUCGUAGUCCGGAUUGGAGUCUGCAACUCGACUCCAUGAAGUCGGAAUCGCUAGUAAUCGCAAAUCAGAAUGUUGCGGUGAAUACGUUCCCGGGCCUU